rfam:Guillardia theta CCMP2712 unplaced genomic scaffold GTITHscaffold_315, whole genome shotgun sequence.
GCUCUCGUGGUGUAGUGGUUAUCACGUUCGCUUUACACGCGAAAGAUCGCUGGUUCAAUCCCGGCCGAGAGUA